rnacentral:rRNA from 1 species
CUACGGGGGGCUGCAGUGAGGAAUAUUGCACAAUGGGGGGAACCCUGAUGCAGCAACGCCGCGUGGAGGAUGACGCAUUUCGGUGUGUAAACUCCUUUUAUAUGUCAAGAAAAUGACGGUAGCAUAUGAAUAAGCACCGGCUAACUCCGUGCCAGCAGCCGCGGUAAUACGGAGGGUGCAAGCGUUACUCGGAGUCACUGGGCGUAAAGGACGCGUAGGCGGGUUGGAAAGUCAGGUGUGAAAUCCUACAGCUUAACUGUAGAACUGCACUUGAAACUUCUAAUCUAGAGUAUGGGAGGGGGAGAUGAAAUUAGUGGUGUAGGGGUAAAAUCCGUAGAUAUCACUAGGAAUACCUAAAGCGAAGGCGAUCUCCUGGAACAUUACUGACGCUAAGGCGUGAAAGCGUGGGGAGCAAACAGGAUUAGAUACCCGGGUAGUC